AUGCUUACUUGGCAGGGGAGAUCACGAAGGUGGUUAUCCCAGGGCAAGGCUUAUCCAUUGCACUCUGCUGUGGCUGUGUUGACUCCUGCGAUUUCCCCAAAUGGGAAACUCGACUGUAUAAUUUAUGGUAGUGGGGGACUGUGUUCAUGUGCUCCCCUG